rnacentral:rRNA from 1 species
UACGAAGGGGGCUAGCGUUGCUCGGAAUCACUGGGCGUAAAGCGCACGUAGGCGGAUUUGUAAGUCAGGGGUGAAAUCCCGGGGCUCAACCUCGGAACUGCCUUUGAUACUGCAAAUCUCGAGUCCGGAAGAGGUGAGUGGAAUUCCUAGUGUAGAGGUGAAAUUCGUAGAUAUUCGCAAGAACACCAGUGGCGAAGGCGGCUCACUGGCCCAUAACUGACGCUGAGGCACGAAAGCGUGGGGAGCAAACAGG